GAAGAAGUCCUGAAAAGAGGAGACACAGUCAUCAUCAUCCUUAAUUCCUAAUUUCUGUUUUAUACUUUCUGUGUAAAGCUAAAAUCUUGUGGUUGUUGACAUAACUUAGAUUGAGCUGAACCUAAUAAAAUGCUUUUUAUCUUGUAAUCCUGAUUGCUGAUCUCUGGUUUAUUCAGGAAGAAUUAAU